AUGAGUGAGAAGUCUGAGGCGGUGACGUUCAAGGACAUAGCUGUGGUCUUCAGCGAGGAGGAGCUGGGGCUGCUGGACGCUGCCCAGAGGAGGCUGUACCGCGAUGUGAUGCUGGAGAACUUCUGGAAGCUGCUCUCAGUGGGGCGUCAACCACUGAAACAAGACAUCCUCUACUUUAUCACGGAAGGAAAGUUUUGGUUGAUCAAGACAUCGUCCUAUAGAGAAGACGACCAAGAGGGUAGGGUCCAAACUGAGAUGGAGACUCUUCCAGAAGCAAGACAAUGUGAAGAGUUGUCUUUCAAACAAAUCUGGGGACAGAUUGCAAGUGACUUAACCAUAUAUCCAGACUCCACAAUAAGCAUCUCUCAGUUCACCAAAGAAGGUGAGUCACCCUGUCAGGUUGGAACAGGAUUAUCUCUGAUUCACACAGGACAAAAACUUUAUCAGGAUAGUGAGCACACCCAGAUCUCCAGUGAUGUCUCCAGCUCUGGUCUUCAUCAACAAUUACACUCAAGAGAGAAGUCUCAUAAAUGUGAGGAGUGUGGAAAAAGCUUCUGUUACAGCUCAGCUCUUUGUGUUCAUCAGAGAGUUCACAUGGGAGAGAAACGCCACAAGUGUGAUGUGUGUGGAAAGGAGUUCAGCCAGAGCUCCCGUCUGCAAACUCAUCAGAAGGUCCGCACUGUAGAGAAACCAUUCAAAUGUGAGCAGUGUGGGAAAGGCUUCAGUCAGAGAGCUGCACUUAACGUUCACUGCAAAGUACACACAGGUGAGAAACCAUACAGUUGUGAGGUGUGUGGGCAAGCCUACAUUCAUGACUCACAGCUACAGAACAUCAGCGAAUCCACGUGGGGGAGAAACCGUUCAAGUGUGAUAUAUAUGGUAAGAGCUUUUGUGGUAGAUCAAGGCUUAACAGGCAUUCCAUGAUCCACACAGGAGAGAAGCCAUUCAGAUGUGACACAUGUGGUAAGAGGUUUCGCCAGAGAUCAGCACUUAAUAAUCAUUGCAUGGUCCACACAGUAGAGAAGCCAUACAAAUGUGAGGAGUGUGGAAAGGGCUUCAUUUGUAGGUGAGAUCUUUGUAAGCAUCAGCUGGUUCACACAGGAGAGAAACUGUAUAGCUGUGAAGAAUGUGGAAAGAGUUUCAGAUGGUCCUCAUGUCUUCUGCAACACCAGUGAGUCCACAGUGGAGCCAAACCAUUCAAAGGUGAGCAGUGUGGGGAGAGCUUUUAUAUAGCUUCUCAGUGUCAUUCCCGUCAGAGAACUUACACUGGAGAGAAGCCAUACAGAUGUGAGGAGUGUAGGAAGGGCUACUAGUAGAGCUUGAACCUUGACGCACAUUGGAGGGUACACACAGGAGAGAAACCAUGCAAGUGUGGAGUGUGUGGUCAGUGCUUCAUUCAGGCCUCAAGUCCUCAACUCCACCAGAGUGUGCCCCUUGGAGAGCGAAUCCAGAGACAUCUGGGAGGUGUAGUCCCAGAGCCCUGUGGGGGUAACCGGUACUUCGGUUGGCCAGGCGAAUCAGGAAUUCCGCCGACCUUCGUCUGCUGCCGCAGGGACCUGGCCUUCGGCUUAGCAGAAAAGAAUCGCCGUGGGGAGAGCAGAGGUUUGUGGCGCGAGGGCAGCGGUUUCGGUUAUCCUCGGUGGAACCGGCUCGCAUCUGGGGUUGUCCUGGUUUCCUCGGGCUGUGCUUAG